UACGUAGGGGGCAAGCGUUGUCCGGAAUUAUUGGGCGUAAAGAGCGCGUAGGCGGUCUGAUAAGUCGGUUGUGAAAGUCGGGGGCUCAACCCUCGGAUGCCGAUCGAUACUGUCAGGCUAGAGUCCGGAAGAGGCGAGUGGAAUUCCUGGUGUAGCGGUGAAAUGCGCAGAUAUCAGGAGGAACACCGAUGGCGAAGGCAGGUCUCUGGGCCGAUACUGACGCUGAGGAGCGAAAGCGUGGGGAGCGAACAGG
rnacentral:rRNA from 1 species